CCUGAAGGCAGUGGUUGGAUCCAGCUUCAGGAUCAAAUCAUUCUCAGCCACUUGGGAACAAAAUCCCAGAAAUCCCAGGCCAGCAGCCAGGGAUGCAGGAGGAGAAGAUGGGGUUCCCCUCCUGACCUCGGCAGGCGCCCCCAUCCAGCAUUUUCUCCAGACUGGUCCAUUCCUCCUCUCAGUCUGGGACAGGAGUUGCAGCAUACUGGCCAGCUGUGCCAGAGCGAUAUCACCAAAAAGAUGUUACCCAACAAAGCUCGAGGAUGAGACGACUGAGUGAAAGCUUCGCAAAAACAGAGACUGAAAGAUUUGUAAAUGAAUCCGAAAUGAGACAAGCACGUCAAAAAACCAUCCAGCAACAGUACAAC
rnacentral:lncRNA from 1 species